rnacentral:rRNA from 1 species
GACGAACGCUGGCGGCGUGCCUAAUACAUGCAAGUAGAACGCACAGUUUAUACCGUAGCUUGCUACACCAUAGACUGUGAGUUGCGAACGGGUGAGUAACGCGUAGGUAACCUGCCUGGUAGCGGGGGAUAACUAUUGGAAACGAUAGCUAAUACCGCAUAAUAUUGAUUAUUGCAUGAUAAUUAAUUGAAAGGUGCAAUUGCACCACAACAGGAGGGCCUUCCGUUGUAUUGCCUAGAAGGGGAGGUAACGGCUCCCCUAGGCGACGAUAAAUAACCGACCUGAGAGGGUGAUCGGCCACACUGGGACUGAGACACGGCCCAGACUCCUACGGGAGGCAGCAGUAGGGAAACUUCGGCAAUGGACGAAAGUCUGACCGAGCAACGCCGCGUGAGGGAAGAAGGGUUUCGGAUCGUAAAGCUCUGUUGUAAGAGAAGAACGGGUGUGAGAGUGGAAAGUUCACACUGUGACGGUAUCUUACCAGAAAGGGACGGCUAACUACGUG